CGAGUCGGACAGAUGAUCGCGGCUUGGAGACCGUAAUCGGUCUCUGAGGUGAGGAAAGUCCGGGCUUCAUAGGGCAGGAUGCCGGAUAACGUCCGGUGGAGGUGACUCCCAGGCCAGUGCAACAGAAACAAACCGCUGCGGGAUUUUUCCCGCAGUAAGGGUGGAAAGGCAGUGUAAGAGACUACCGUGCCGGUGGUAACAUCGGUAGCCAUGUAAACCCCAUCCGAAGCAAGACCAAACGCCGAAAGGCGGACAACUAUAGGCCGGCCCGGUCUGUUGUCAGGUAGGUCGCUUGAGGUCAAUGGUAACAUUGAUCCUAGACAGAUGAUCAUCUAAUACAUAACCCGGCUUACAGUCCGACUCGUAUU
rnacentral:RNase_P_RNA from 1 species